rnacentral:rRNA from 1 species
AUUGAACGCUGGCGGCAUGCCUUACACAUGCAAGUCGAACGGCAGCACGGGGGCAAUCCUGGUGGCGAGUGGCGAACGGGUGAGUAAAGUAUCGGAACGUGCCCAGUCGUGGGGGAUAACGUAGCGAAAGUUACGCUAAUACCGCAUACGAUCUAUGGAUGAAAGCGGGGGAUCGCAAGACCUCGCGCGAUUGGAGCGGCCGAUAUCAGAUUAGGUAGUUGGUGGGGUAAAGGCUCACCAAGCCGACGAUCUGUAGCUGGUCUGAGAGGACGACCAGCCACACUGGGACUGAGACACGGCCCAGACUCCUACGGGAGGCAGCAGUGGGGAAUUUUGGACAAUGGGCGCAAGCCUGAUCCAGCCAUGCCGCGUGCAGGAUGAAGGCCUUCGGGUUGUAAACUGCUUUUGUACGGAACGAAAAGGUUUGACUUAAUACGUUGGACUCAUGACGGUACCGUAAGAAUAAGCACCGGCUAACUACGUGCCAGCAGCCGCUGUAA